GAGUUAGUGGCGCACGGGUGAGUAAUGUAUAGCUAAUCUGCCCUACACUAGAGGACAACAGUUGGAAACGACUGCUAAUACUCUAUACUCCUAUCUAACAUAAGUUAGGUAGGGAAAGUUUUUCGGUGUAGGAUGAGGCUAUAUUGUAUCAGCUAGUUGGUGAGGUAAUGGCUCACCAAGGCUAUGACGCAUAACUGGUCUGAGAGGAUGAUCAGUCACACUGGAACUGAGACACGGUCCAGACUCCUACGGGAGGCAGCAGUAGGGAAUAUUGCUCAAUGGGGGAAACCCUGAAGCAGCAACGCCGCGUGGAGGAUGACACUUUUCGGAGCGUAAACUCCUUUUGUUAGGGAAGAACAAUGACGGUACCUAACGAAUAAGCACCGGCUAACUCCGUGCCAGCAGCCGCC
rnacentral:rRNA from 1 species